rnacentral:tRNA from 1 species
UCCCUGGUGGUCAAGCAAUUAAGACUCUUCACUUUCAUUGCAGGGGGCACAGGUUCAAUCCCUGGUCAGGGAA